AUGACGCACGACGCGAGAAAACCGGUCUUAAUGACACUACAAUAAAUGUGCACUACAGCGAUUUAAAUGACGUCACUCUUAUUGUGUAUACACAUGUAAACACGGAAAUGAUUUUUAUCGUGUGUUAUUGUUUUUAAGGUGUAUUAUCGUAAGGAUUCACAGAAAAGUUUAUAUGAUGGAGGAGGAGUUAGAAGUAAGUGUCUAUAAUGUAUAAUUUAUGAAAAACAGCAACAAAAACAUAUCAUGUUUAUUAAUCAGAGCAUCGAAUUGAUAAAUAUUUACUGUUGGUAAUUUAACACUGACGUUAACAGUUUUGUACUCACUACUGUACUGUACUGUAUAUCCACAGUACACCAAGACUAGUAUGCUUUGAAAUACACAAGAAUAAAUUAAUCGGCAACGUACAUCGGUGCCUUUAUAUAGAAUAUAUUUACGUUGUUUUGAUCUUAAUUAGAUCUAUGUCUACUGUAUUGUAUGGGUUUACCAAUUGCUUUCAUAUUUUAUAGGCUAAUCUAAAUUUAGAUUGCUAAUCAGCCGCAAGUUACAUUAAUACUCUUUUUCAUAAUUCAUUUAGAAUAUGUUUCUAUAAUUCAUUUAGAAUAUGCAAGCAAUAAAAUAAUAUAUGUCCAUCAUCAUGGAAUGAAAAAAAAAGUUUUUUAGAUUUAAUAUUGUCUUUUAUUGAUUAAUUAGCACACGUAAGAAUUGUUGAGAGAAUAGCUCAGUGGAUAAUGCAGUGGCCUCACAUACAAGCAAAUCGAGUUCGUAUCCUGGCUGAUGCCAAAUUUUUAUAUCCGUUUUUUAUUCAUUAUUUUUUGUCAUUCAUAGGAUCUGAAAUCCCUCUACUCGGAUUAUUUUGGGAGAACACCUAUCAACUCACAAAACAGAUUUUUCGAGAGAUACUGACUUUGAUUAUUCAGACGUGAAAAAAUGUGACACUAGUGCAACGACAGCACUGUGGGACCACGUUCUUCUCGCACAAAAAGGACAUGCGCGGUGUUUAGUUGAUACGGGGUUCGCACAUCUAAAGAUUAGAUUCCGGUGGCAUAAUUUAGAAACACUUCAACAGCUGGCCCAUGUUAAAGAGAUGUCAUCUACAAGUUACCCCAAGUUGUCAUGGCGACAAUGGAAACCCGUUCUAGACGGAUUUUUCAAACCAAUUAUUGGUUUAAGAAAAUUUCCGGUUCCAGUCGAACAAACCGUGUGUGGUUAUGGGCAAAAUAACACCUGAAGGCGAGGAAUAUUUGAUUCAAGUCUUGAAAGAACACGGAUUCCGGUUCAGUUCAUGUGUCCGUCAAGCGUUAUUACGCAUAGGGAAUGUCAGCAGUGUCGCGAAGUGUGCGUGUGUUCGUCUGUCAAGACAGUUAAUCAUAUUAUCAGUGAUUAAGGUGCACUGUUAUAACAGCUAAGUGCAGAUUUAAAUAUCCAGAACUGUUCUUGUUUGUUGUUAAAAUAUACGGCCAUUGUUUCUGUUAUAAAGAAACUGUUAUAAAGAAAAAGAGAACUUUUUUAUUUAACUAUGUAUUUUUUUCAUAGGUAUUAAACGUUAAACGUAGACUUAUA